rnacentral:rRNA from 1 species
UACGGAGGGGGCAAGCGUUAUUCGGAAUUAUUGGGCGUAAAGGGCGCGUAGGCGGCUAGAUGUGUCAAAGGUGAAAUCCCUCGGCUCAACUGAGGAACUGCCUUUGAAACUGUCUGGCUUGAGGCCGGGAGAGGGUAGCGGAGUUCCCAGUGUAGCGGUGAAAUGCGUAGAUAUCUGGAGGAAUACCGGUGGCGAAGGCGGCAUCCUGGACCGACAUUGACGCUGAGGAGCGAAAGCUAGGGGAGCAAACGGG